GACGAACGCUGGCGGCGCGCCUAACACAUGCAAGUCGAACGGGACUAUAUUGGAAGAAGUUUUCGGAUGGAUUUCGGUAUAGUUUAGUGGCGGACGGGUGAGUAACACGUGAGCAACCUGCCUUCGAGAGGGGAAUAACGGCUGGAAACGGUCGCUAAUACCGCAUAACAUACUGGGAGGACAUCCUGCUGGUAUCAAAGAUUUAUUGCUCGAAGAUGGGCUCGCGUCCGAUUAGGUAGUUGGUGAGGUAACGGCUCACCAAGCCGACGAUCGGUAGCCGGACUGAGAGGUUGAACGGCCACAUUGGGACUGAGACACGGCCCAGACUCCUACGGGAGGCAGCAGUGGGGGAUAUUGCACAAUGGGGGAAACCCUGAUGCAGCGACGCCGCGUGUGGGAAGACGGUCCUCUGGAUUGUAAACCACUGUCCCCAGGGACGAAGAUGACGGUACCUGGGGAGGAAGCUCCGGCUAACUACGUGCCAGCAGCCGCGGUAAUACGUAGGGAGCG
rnacentral:rRNA from 1 species